UACGAAGGGGGCUAGCGUUGCUCGGAAUUACUGUGCGUAAAGCGCACGUAGGCGGCUUUCUAAGUCGGGGGUGAAAUCCUGGAGCUCAACUCCAGAACUGCCUUCGAUACUGGAGAGCUCGAGUCCGGGAGAGGUGAGUGGAACUGCGAGUGUAGAGGUGAAAUUCGUAGAUAUUCGCAAGAACACCAGUGGCGAAGGCGGCUCACUGGCCCGGUACUGACGCUGAGGUGCGAAAGCGUGGGGAGCGAACAGG
rnacentral:rRNA from 1 species